AAGGAUUGAAGAGUUACUCGCCAAAAGCCAAUCUGGUGACACUAGCUUAAGGGUAUUUAUGUAUUAAUCGUUUAUAAUUCAUAAUAUGAGGGCAUAUAUUCUAUUCAUGUAUAUUGUAUAGCAAUGCAAUAAUGACAUGAAUCGUCCAUAGAGUCUUUGUUUGAAAAGACAUAUUUCUAAGAGUUAGGAAUUUGAGAUAUGUACUUUCUGUACAAGACUCUUUAAAUGCUCCUAACCAGAGGAAUAUUACAGGGAUGGUAAUAUUCCAGAUAGGCCGGUGUAUGCUAUGUUUCUAAUUGAGGUGACGAAUCUUAAGUCACUAGUGUAGGGAUAUUAGAAUAAGCAUACAGGUGCUUGUUAGAGAACAAGUACACUGAGCGUGACUAUUUAGUUGAACAGUCACAUGGUUUCAUGUUCGCCAGUGACAAAUUCAUUGCUACAAGUUGUGUGAAGUACUCCUCAACCUGAGGCAUCAUAGUUGUUUCACAUAUAGGUUGCUACUGUUUGACAAUACUAAUGCUUAAACUCUAGACAUGGGUCUAUGUUCGGUACUGAUUGGCUAUAAUGAUUUAUGCGGGGAGGCAUGUGAAUGCGCAAUAAGGAAUCUAACUCUCAUGCAAUGAUGAAAGAGAACGUCCUAUGCAGUCUAUUGGACUUGACUCGAAAAGCCGCUAGCCAAGGUACAUGGUAUAUGGAAAGAGUUUCCAACUGUGUUGCCAUAUUGAGUUGAUUUCAAAUAUUCUAGUCAUACGGUUAAAUGAUAAGGUUUGGCGAGUAACAGUAACCUUAGUUCGAUUAGGACGUUGUAUGUUGGAAGGAAUUAAUCACACUGUAACUGUAAGUGGAAAGGUUCAUUUUUCAUCACCAUUCUAGAUUGUCGUGAUUUACUGCUAGGUGUCACUCACGUCUGACGAUGAGAGAAUAUGAAUGAUUUGAAUUGAAUUGUUCUUGUUUAUCAAUUAGAAGAGUUCUAAUUAAAUAUCAAAGAGUUUGAUGUUGAGCUCCAUUGCCGAAUAGUAAUGAAACUAUGUGCUCACACACAUUAGGAAUUGUAUGCGCCUGAAUCAUUUGGAUGAGAGUUGUUCACUAAAGAGUUUAGUGUAAGCGAUGAAAAUAGAAAGAAACUGCUUAAUUAAAUUAGAUUUGAUUAUUCAAUUCGGUUAUAACCGAUAGUCCUAAUUAGAUUAGGCUAGCAGAAUCAGUUUGAGAAUUUUGUGCAUGAUUUAAAUUUAUCCCUUUAAUCAUAAAAUAUUUAAAUAAAAUUUAAAUAUUUAUUAAGGAAUCUUAUUGGAUAAGAAUAAAAUUAGAUAAGAUCUAAUUAGAUAGGGAGAGAUUAAUUUUAAUUUCUAAUUGAAUUAGAGAAUAAUUAAAUAUUCAUAAUAUCUUAUGAUAUAAGAUUUUUACUAGAUUUGAUUUAGUUGGAUAAGCAUGAAUAUUUAAUCGUUAAAUUUUAUUGGGGAGAGAGAAAAUCUUAUUAGAUAAGAUUUUAUGAAAUAAGAUUUUAUA
rnacentral:lncRNA from 1 species